UAACCUUGCGAAAGUAAGACUAAUACCCAAUGAUAUCUCUAGAAGACAUCUGAAAGAGAUUAAAGAUUUAUCGGUGAUGGAUGGGGAUGCGUCUGAUUAGCUUGUUGGCGGGGUAACGGCCCACCAAGGCGACGAUCAGUAGGGGUUCUGAGAGGAAGGUCCCCCACAUUGGAACUGAGACGCGGUCCAAACUCCUACGGGAGGCAGCAGUGAGGAGUAUUGGUCAAUGGACGAGAGUCUGAACCAGCCAAGUAGCGUGCAGGAUGACGGCCCUAUGGGUUGUAAACUGCUUUUAUAAGGGAAUAAAGUGAGUCUCGUGAGACUUUUUGCAUGUACCUUAUGAAUAAGGACCGGCUAAUUCCGUGCCAGCAGCCGCGGUAAUACGGAAGGUCCGGGCGUUAUCCGGAUUUAUUGGGUUUAAAGGGAGCGUAGGCCGGAGAUUAAGCGUGUUGUGAAAUGUAGACGCUCAACGUCUGCACUGCAGCGCGAACUGGUUUCCUUGAGUACGCACAAAGUGGG
rnacentral:rRNA from 1 species